GAUGAAGAACGUAGCGAAAUGCGAUAAGUAAUGUGAAUUGCAGAAUUCCGUGAAUCAUCGAAUCUUUGAACGCACAUUGCGCCCCCUGGUAUUCCGGGGGGCAUGCCUGUCCGAGCGUCAUUACAACCUUCAAGCGCGGCUUGUGUGUUGGGUCUCGUCCCCCGUGGACGGGCCCGAAAGGCAGUGGCGGCGUCCCGACAUGGUGCCCGAGCGUAUGGGAAUCCUCUUCCGCUCGAAUCGGCCCAUGCGGCGCUGGUCGUAACCAAAUUUUUUACCGGUUGACCUCGGAUCAGGUAGGGAUACCCGCUGAACUUAAGCAUAUCAAUAAGCGGAGA
rnacentral:misc_RNA from 1 species